AUGUUCCCUGAAAGCUGUGUCAUUCUAUCUAUAAUCCGCACUGAUGGAGAAAUAGCUGAAUACAAGUUUUCAGCCAAAAUGAGAACACCAGAGAGAAAGUCUAGACUCACAUGUUCUCUGCAGAUAUCAAGUUUACACAAGGAGCAGAAGCAGGGUAUGGCACCAAAUCUGUUCAGCGACACAACUGAUCUUGCUUGCCACAUCUGUUCCAGAAUUCCCAAAGCCAAUCAUGACCACUCUCUUCUCCACAAAAUUGUCUUGGUGCUUGGAUUCCCAGCUGUGGAGCUAUCUGCCUUGGAAGUCAGUGAUUCCUGUGAACGAAGAGUCAAAUCUCCUGAGUCACAAGCAGAAGCGGCAAAUACUUGGGCAAAUUGCCUUCCUAAACUUUAAAUUCAUAUUAUAUAGUCCCCCUUCUCUGUCCUUGGUCAUUUAUUGCUGAUAUCAUAAAAUAAGAUUGUCCAAGGAAGGAAAUAUUCAUUAGCAGCAACUCUGGCAAAGCUCAGAAUCAAAGCAGAUGAAUGUUUCUUUUAAAAUGACCAAUUCUAAAUUUGCCCAAUGCAAUCAUCACGUGGCAAGAGGAGGCCAUGGCUUUUCAUUUCUCUCUGUUUCUGUCUGAGCAGCUAUUCAUCAUUCUCUGUGACUCUGACUACGAGUUUCACAAAUAAGCAAGACCCUUUCCAUAUACAACAAAAGCUGUUGUUCAAAAGAAACUGAAUACAAACCAUAUAUACAACUUUGUAACAGCCACAUAAAAUGGGUAAAAUGAUACUUUCUAUUAUUAUUUGUAUGGUGUGUGUGUGUGUGUGUGUGUGUGUGUGUGUACACUUGUGCAUGUGAAUAUGAGCCCAUGAGUGCAGCUUCCUGGGGAGUUAUGAACAUUGUGUUAGAUUCCCUAAGAACUGGAGUUACAGACCUCCUGUAACUACCUGACAUGGGUGCUGGGAACCAAACUUGAGUCCCCUAGAAGUGCAGUAAGUAAUCUGAAUCCUGAGCCAUCUCUCCAUGCCCAGUUUCAAUGACAUUUCUUAUUAAAACAUAAUUUAAAAUAUUAGUACAUAAUCAACAUACAAAACAUUGAUGAGCAUUUUAUACAUUUUACUGCACAGUCUCUGAAACCAUGUGUUUGUUUUACAUUGAAUGUACGUCUCAGCUUGUGUCAGAUGUAUUUCUUUAAAAAUUUAAGAAAUGGCCUUUGCAUUAUAUUAUUGUUUCCAGUUUAGUGUUUUUAUGGGAUUCCCGAGUGUGCUAAUGAGUGGGUCUCUAUUUCUUGUGCUUCCACGUGGGCUCUUUCUCUUCCAUUUAUUUUAUUGAAUUGUAAUGUGUUAGUUUUUGUUUUAUCUUAUACUUUUAUUUCAUUUUUGAUUAUUCCUUAGAUGUCUAUUUGUUUGCU
rnacentral:lncRNA from 1 species